CUGGCACAGUAGGUCAUCCCUUGUGAAGGCUGGGUUUGUCAAAGGAAAUUAAGAGAAUUACCUGGACCGUGUUGAACACCAGUGAGAAGGACUUCUGGACAGCUCUGCAAAAGAACAGGGGCACUUUCCAAUCCUUGCUGCACAGAGAUCCUCCUGCCCCAGGCCAUCUUGAACUCUCACCUGAAGGAUCUCAGCUACCACAGUUCAUCAAACCUUGAGGAAUCUCACUUAUUUAAGCUGUUGCCUGUUAGCUGGGGAAGCACGAAGCAUCAGGCAGCCUUUGUCUCCUUGGAGACUUCUGCCUUAGCGCCUGCCUGUCCCACCACAGCACUCAGCAGAUGCUCGGGGAGCCUGGGGACACCUCCUGCUGAGAUCCUGUGGGAAGUCCUCCUCUGGGGCUCCAUUGUGCUGCACAUGCAGCCCGCUUAAUGUGCUACGUGUGGCUCCCUUGUCGUUAUGGCUUUCUUUCAUCUCCAAGGGGAAUGAUUUCUCAUUGCAAAAGAACCUUUUUAAACUACCAGCUUAAUACCUUGCAUCUGUAUUUGGGUGUACAGAGAAUGAGAAAGUCUCAGAAGGAGCUGCAGAGUAGCCAACACCUGGAUAAUGAUCAUCUCACUGCCUUAGGCUGCCAUGGUCCCAAGCUGUCCUUGAGGCUGAGGUAGUAGAUUGAAUAGUUGUGGAGUCCGGUCCUCCCUUUGAGCUAACUAUACAAUCUACUGUCUUUCCUAAGGAGACAGUCAGGUCUUCAGUUCUCAUCCUCUCAUCUUCUACACCAAGCACGGAGGCAGGUGGUGCAAGUAACACAAAGCCAGUGAUACAGCGUGCAUCAGACAAGACCUCUGUACUGCUCUGUGGAGAGCAGCAAAACCACUGGAGGACUGGCUCAGCCACGCUGCUCCUGAGGCAUCACUUCUUUCUGUUGAGGAUCCCAAAACACAGCACGGUGUUGUUGAACAACUCGGUGGCUCUUCUCUUACAGCAGCCAGGAUUGCGUUCUUCCAGGGACUGCUCCAUGCCUCAGCCAUGAGUAUGGAGCCACCCUCUCGCAACCUGUUUCAUGGGUGCAAGAGAAACAAUGAAAUGAGUUGGUGUAUCAGCUUCUGGUGUUCAGUUCUGUUCUUUUUUUGCAGGAGAUGGGCUCAAGCUGUAAAUGUGCUGUUCUUUUCUGGUCAGUCCUCAAGUCUGAAGGGGAGCGGAUACUUUGGUACAGAGGAUAGAUCUGAGCACCCAGUUCUGAAGUCUGGGUUAAAAACUAGAUCUAAGGGCAUGCUUAUCCUGUAGACUCAAAGCCUUGGGAGCUGAUCCAAUUUGGCUGGUUGCCCCCCCUCAGGAAGUGCAUUCUGUUUUGGACAAGUUCCCAUCUCUCCAUGGUAUAGAGUUAGAGGGUGGUUGUUUCUGGUCUGAUAAUCCAUAUCAACCUAACUCACUAAUACACAAACCCUGGCAAGGAGAUUAGGGCUCCUGUGUACUUACAUAGGAUAAGCCACCGAUUCAGACUAACACCCUGUCCUAGAGCGGAGACAGGUAAGGAAGAGAGGUAAGCCAAAGGGAGCAAGUCCUAAUCCUUGUGGGUUCUCCCAGGCAGGUAGCACUGUCAUCUGACAACAGGCAUGAGAAGACAGUCUGCGCCACAGCUCUGGCACUUGACCAGGGGCAGGGAAUUGUUAUUUCUUCUCUUUCUUAGGAGCAGAUGGGACUAUCCCUCUGCUAUGUUGAAGAGUAAGUAGGAUCGAGCUGUAACACGAUCAGGGCUGCAUCAGUUCUUCAAGACUGAAGGACAUCUCAGGCCAUUAUCACUGCCAUCUCACUGCCAUGGAGACGGGUGAGAUCCGAGACACCGGGGAGCAAGGGCAAGCAGAGGCCACCUUCUCAGAUGAAGUGGGAGGAAGAGACCUGCAAAAAGAAGCUGGAGCCCUCCAAUUUCACCCCGAGCAAACGCACAGGGAGACCCAGACCUGACUGCUUGGGCCAUGGGGUUCCCCAGAAAUGAAAUGGCUUGUUUAAGGCUCCUCUGCUUCCUGGGUGUAGCUGCAGCGAGGCUGGGACAUGACUUGCUCAGGCUGGGCAGCAGCUGGUGGGUGGGGAUGCCGCAGUGUCUAGUGGUGAAGGAAUGCAGCCCUCGCUCCAUAAAUCUGGCUCUUCAACAGUCCUGGCGACGUGCUGUGCAAAACUACAGCUUGGUCCUCUUAGAUGCAUUAUUAUCCUCUAGCUGCUUGCUAAGGGGCAGGGCUCCUACCCGCAAAUUGCUUGGAAAGGACCAAAAUAGCACCAGAAGCAUGGGAACAGAGCAUAUCCACUUCAUAUUUAAAACAAGGGGGAAUGGGUUUAAACUCAAACAGGGAAGUUCAGGUUGGAUAUAAAGUUCUUCCCUAUGAGGGUGGUGAGGCGCUAGCACAGGGUGCCCAGAGAAGCUGUGGCUGCCCCAUCCCUGGCAGUGUUCAAGGCCAGGUUGGACACAGGGGCUUGGAGCAACCUGCUCUAGUGGAAGGUGUCCCUGUCUGUGGCAGGGGAUUGGAUCUGGAUGAGCUUUAAGUUCCCUUCCAACCCAAACCAUUCUACGAUUCUAUAAGAACCAAUCCUGUAUGUCCCAAGUGAAAUCAGUUCAGUCCCCUCCACUGCACUGAUGUUAAUGCAGGGAAUCUCAAGUGGUGAAACUGCGUGAGCUGGAAGCCAUGAAUAAAAUAUUACUGGAGAGACUCUCUUCUGAAAAUAAA